UGGUGGAGUGAUUUGUCUGGUUAAUUCCGAUAACGAACGAGACCCCGUCCUACUUACUAGACCGAGGAUCCUCUCGUUCUCGCUGUCUUCUUAGAGGGACAACUGCUUAUACCUGAACUACAUGAAAUGGGGCAAUAACA
rnacentral:rRNA from 1 species